rnacentral:rRNA from 1 species
UGGGGAAUAUUGCACAAUGGGCGCAAGCCUGAUGCAGCCAUGCCGCGUGUGUGAAGAAGGCCUUCGGGUUGUAAAGCACUUUCAGCGAGGAGGAAGGUGGUGAACUUAAUACGUUCAUCAAUUGACGUUACUCGCAGAAGAAGCACCGGCUAACUCCGUGCCAGCAGCCGCGGUAAUACGGAGGGUGCAAGCGUUAAUCGGAAUUACUGGGCGUAAAGCGCACGCAGGCGGUUUGUUAAGUCAGAUGUGAAAUCCCCGGGCUCAACCUGGGAACUGUAUUUGAAACUGGCAAGCUAGAGUCUCGUAGAGGGGGGCUAGAAUUCCAGGUGUAGCGGUGAAAUGCGUAGAGAUCUGGAGGAAUACCGGUGGCGAAGGCGGCCCCCCUGGACGAAGACUGACGCUCAGGUGCGAAAGCGUGGGGCAGCAAACAGGAUUAGAUACCCUGGUAGUCCACGCUGUAAACGAUGUCGAUUUGGAGGUUGUGCCCUUGAGGCGUGGCUUCCGGAGCUAACGCGUUAAAUCGACCGCCUGGGGAGUACGGCCGCAAGGUUAAAACUCAAAUGAAUUG